rnacentral:rRNA from 1 species
GACGAACGCUGGCGGCGUGCUUAACACAUGCCAGUCGAACGGAAAGGCCCUGCUUUUGUGGGGUGCUCGAGUGGCGAACGGGUGAGUAACACGUGAGUAACCUGCCCUUGACUUUGGGAUAACUUCAGGAAACUGGGGCUAAUACCGGAUAGGAGCUCCUGCUGCAUGGUGGGGGUUGGAAAGUUUCGGCGGUUGGGGAUGGACUCGCGGCUUAUCAGCUUGUUGGUGGGGUAGUGGCUUACCAAGGCUUUGACGGGUAGCCGGCCUGAGAGGGUGACCGGCCACAUUGGGACUGAGAUACGGCCCAGACUCCUACGGGAGGCAGCAGUGGGGAAUAUUGCACAAUGGGCGGAAGCCUGAUGCAGCAACGCCGCGUGCGGGAUGACGGCCUUCGGGUUGUAAACCGCUUUCGCCUGUGACGAAGCGUGAGCGACGGUAAUGGGUAAAGAAGCACCGGCUAACUACGUG